CCUACGGGAGGCAGCAGUGGGGAAUAUUGCACAAUGGGCGCAAGCCUGAUGCAGCAACGCCGCGUGAAGGAAGACGGUUUUCGGAUUGUAAACUUCUGUUCUUAGUGAAGAAUAAUGACGGUAGCUAAGGAGCAAGCCACGGCUAACUACGUGCCAGCAGCCGCGGUAAUACGUAGGUGGCAAGCGUUGUCCGGAAUUACUGGGUGUAAAGGGAGCGCAGGCGGGUGAUCAAGUCAGCUGUGAAAACUACGGGCUUAACCCGUAGACUGCAGUUGAAACUGUUCAUCUUGAGUGAAGUAGAGGUUGGCGGAAUUCCGAGUGUAGCGGUGAAAUGCGUAGAUAUUCGGAGGAACACCGGUGGCGAAGGCGGCCAACUGGGCUUUAACUGACGCUGAGGCUCGAAAGUGUGGGGAGCAAACAGGAUUAGAUACCCUGGUAGUCCACACUGUAAACGAUGAUUGCUAGGUGUGGGGGGUCUGACCCCUUCCGUGCCGGAGCUAACGCAAUAAGCAAUCCACCUGGGGAGUACGACCGCAAGGUUGAAACUCAAAGGAAUUGACGGGGACCCGCACAAGCAGUGGAUUAUGUGGUUUAAUUCGAAGCAACGCGAAGAACCUUACCAGCACUUGACAUCCAACUAACGAAAUAGAGAUAUAUUAGGUGCCCUUCGGGGAAAGUUGAGACAGGUGGUGCAUGGUUGUCGUCAGCUCGUGUCGUGAGAUGUUGGGUUAAGUCCCGCAACGAGCGCAACCCUCGCCAUUAGUUGCUACGCAAGAGCACUCUAAUGGGACCGCUACCGACAAGGUGGAGGAAGGUGGGGACGACGUCAAAUCAUCAUGCCCCUUAUGUGCUGGGCUACACACGUAAUACAAUGGCCAUCAACAGAGAGAAGCAAUACCGCGAGGUGGAGCAAAACUUCAAAAAUGGUCUCAGUUCGGACUGCAGGCUGCAACCCGCCUGCACGAAGUUGGAAUUGCUAGUAAUCGUGGAUCAGCAUGCCACGGUGAAUACGUUCCCGGGUCUUGUACACACCGCCCGUCACACCAUGGGAGCCGGUAACACCCGAAGUCAGUAGUCUAACCGCAAGGAGGACGCUGCCGAAGGUGGGAUUGGCGACUGGGGUGAAGUCGUAACAAGGUAGCCGUAUCGGAAGGGGGGG
rnacentral:rRNA from 1 species